CUACGGAGGGUGCAAGCGUUAAUCGGAAUUACUGGGCGUAAAGCGUACGUAGGCGGUUCGUUAAGUUAGAUGUGAAAGCCCCGGGCUUAACCUGGGAACUGCAUUUAAAACUGGCGAACUAGAGUUGAGUAGGGGGGAGUGGAAUUUCAGGUGUAGCGGUGAAAUGCGUAGAGAUCUGAAGGAACACCAGUGGCGAAGGCGACUCCCUGGACUCGAACUGACGCUGAGGUACGAAAGCGUGGGUAGCAAACGGGAUUAGAAACCCUAGUAGUCC
rnacentral:rRNA from 1 species